CUCAGAUUUGGCCCACUACCGAGUUUGUGCUUCCUGCAGCAUGGGUCCCAAAGCAAAAAAGUCUGCCAGGAAGACGAAGAAAAUCACCAAAGCUGAACGAUUAAGGAAGCUACAGGAGGAGGAGGAGAGAC